AUUGAACGCUGGCGGCAAGCUUUACACAUGCAAGUCGAACGGCAGCACGGACUUCGGUCUGGUGGCGAGUGGCGAACGGGUGAGUAAUACAUCGGAACGUACCCAGUAAUGGGGGAUAACUAUCCGAAAGGAUAGCUAAUACCGCAUACGCCCUACGGGGGAAAGAGGGGGAUCGCAAGACCUCUUGUUAUUGGAGCGGCCGAUGGCUGAUUAGCUAGUUGGUAGGGUAAAGGCCUACCAAGGCAACGAUCAGUAGCGGGUCUUAGAGGACGAUCCGCCACACUGGAACUGAGACACGGUCCAGACUCCUACGGGAGGCGGCAGUGGGGAAUCUUGGACAAUGGGCGCAAGCCUGAUCCAGCAAUGCCGCGUGCGUGAAGAAGGCCUUCGGGUUGUAAAGCGCUUUUGUCAGGGAGCAAAUCCUUGUGGCUAAUACCCACCGGGGAUGAGAGUACCUGAAGAAUAAGGACCGGCUAACUACGUGCCAGCCGCCGCGGUAAAAC
rnacentral:rRNA from 1 species